CCUACGGGUGGCUGCAGUGAGGAAUAUUGGUCAAUGGCCGGAAGACUGAACCAGCCAAGCCGCGUGAAGGACGAAGGUGCCAAGUAUUGUAAACCUCUUUUGUCAGGGGACAAAGACUGGGACGCGACCCCGGCUGAGGGUACCUGAAGAAAAAGCAUCGGCUAACUCCGUGCCAGCAGCCGCGGUAAUACGGAGGAUGCGAGCGUUAUCCGGAUUUAUUGGGUUUAAAGGGUGCGCAGGCGGACUGUUAAGUCAGCGGUAAAAGCCCGGGGCUCAACCCCGGCCAGCCGUUGAAACUGGCUGUCUCGAGAUGGAGAGAAGUAUGCGGAAUGCGCGGUGUAGCGGUGAAAUGCUUAGAUAUUGCGCAGAACUCCGAUUGCGAAGGCAGCAUGCCGGCUGCGAUCUGACGCUGAGGCACGAAAGCGUGGGUAUCGAACAGGAUUAGAUACCCGAGUAGUC
rnacentral:rRNA from 1 species